rnacentral:ncRNA from 1 species
ACCUGAGCUUCCAUUUCACGGUCAGACAGGCCACCGCAGAUUUGGAUAAUACGGUCAGACAGCGUCGAUUUACCGUGGUCAAUGUGAGCAAUGAUCGAAAAGUUACGUAUGUUCUUCAUAGAGAUAAAUUAUUAUGCCUUACGCCUGGUUGACCAGACUUUAGAGGUCGCUGUUCUGAGCUUAACGUCUGUUUUAACUGAAACGCCGCAUUCUACACUACAACGCUAAGGCGAGGAAAUGUUCAUAGUGUAAGGAGAGCGGGAACUGGAAAACGCCUCGCUUUUUUCCUGUAAAACACCGCAACGCAGGAAAAGCGCAUGCUUAUCGGGACAACAACCCAACGCGGCAGGUGUACCAUGUACCAUUGGGCAAAACGUUUACUGGCGCGUUUCGAUUGAGGUAGUUUCGACGCGGACAAGGUCAGGCGGGAGGGCAACGUUUAAAAUCACGGGCUGCCAGGCGUCGCGCUCCGCCAGUUUUCGGGAAUAGCCGCGGGCAACCAGAAAACCGCCCACUCCGCCCAGCACGGCCCCGCUUAAUGCGGCAAGGUCAGAUCCAAACAGCAUCUGAAAAAGCGCCGCACAAAGAAAUAGCCCCGCUAAAGGCGACAUAUAGACCAGCAACGCCGAACCUAAAAGGCUUUUUUCGGCGAUGCCCAACUCGACUUUCUGCCCCGGAGCCAGCGGCUCCGCGCUUGGCACAACAAUGGUAUGCGUGGUUUGCGGCCCUAAUUUAUUCAGCACGCGACUGCCGCAUCCCGCACGGGAGGCGCAGCUGCUGCAUGACGCUUUAACGUCGCAGCUCACCACCGCCUGACCAUUCUGCCAGGAGAUAACGGUUGCCCACUCUUUAAUCAUUGUACUGCCCUGAAUUUGAUACUGUCGGCAAUGCGC